AACAAUGCAAUGACAAACAGACAGACAGACAGACAGACAGCCUUAACCUUUUUGAGUAAUGAAGUAACAAUGCAGUGUUUUGAGGAGCAGUGACAAACAGACAGACAGACAGACAGUAACUCACCCUUAGGUCACUUCUUUGCCGCAGUGAGCUCAUUCACAGGUCAGCCCAGGAGAGGAGAGGUAGAAAGUGAAGAUUUUGUAGGAAGAAAGAUAGUUUUAUCCCAAUCCAACCCAGACACACCCAGACCUAGCUUAACCAGACCCAACCCAGUAUUCAGAGCAGGCACAAAGUCAUGACCUAACUUAACCUAACACAGUAUUCAAGGCAGGCAGAAAGUUAAGAUUUUGUUAGAAGGAAGUUAAAAUUUGAUCCCAACCCAACCCAGACAAGACCUAACCUGACUUAACACAGUAUUCAAGACAGGCAGAAAAUUAAAAUAUUGUUAAGGGACACAUAAAUUUUAUUGCAACACAGACCAGACCAGACCUAACCCAACCUAACCUAACCAGACCUAACCUAAUAUUCAAUACACAAGAAAGUUGACGUUUUGAAGGUGUACAAGUCAAGAUUCCUAUGGUAACCCAACAGCCAGACAAGACCAGAACCUCCCCUCUCCCCGCCCCCCACCUCCCUAGCGUGCAUGCCAGCAGCCUCCCAGCCUCCCAGUGUGCACGAGAAGACCCGUACCUGUGUGUGCGUGUAUGUAUGUGUGCGCGUGUGUCUGGUCCCUACUUCCAAGAUUCUCAUUCGUCUAAUGGCAGACGAAAAAAAAAAAAAAGACAGAGGUUGUGGGUGUGUCUGUACGUGUGUGCUUGCGUGGGGAAAUUUGGAUCCUUUCAAAGAUUCCUCACUCCACUCACUCCAAUACAACACAAACAAGAAAACCUAACCAAAACAAACCUGCCUGCCCCCCUGUCCCCCUUCCCCCUUUUUUUAAAUUUGUAAGAAAUGCCAUUUUUCAUAUCUUUAAGUCUGAAUAGGAAGAAGAAGGAAAGAAAGAAAGAAAUGUUACUAUUUGGUUGAAUGGAAAAUUAUUUUAUGGAGAAAUUUAUCAAUCUUUUUAUUAUUUGAAGUCAUUUAUUAUUAUAGCAACAUGUUAUGAAAAUAAAUAUACCAGCUAUACAAUCCACCUGUUUGUUUAUGUUCCUUGCAGGGAGGAGGGAAACUGGAGAGUGGAGGGAAAAAAGAUGGAGGGGAAAAAAUGAUUGAUGGAGAGAAAGUAAAAGAAAUGGAAGGAAAAGUACAGGAGAGAUGGAGAGAAGGGGGGAAAAAAUAAGGGGAGGAAAAAUACUGGAGGUGAGAAAAUACUUGAUGGAUGGAGAGAAAACUAAGAUAUGCAAGACAAAUAGUGCAGAGAUGGAGAGAAACAUACUUGAUGGAGAUGAAGGGAAAAAUAAGGGAAAAGUGGAAACAAAAAUACUUGGAGGAAAAAAUAUUGCAGUGAAGGAGAGAAAAUACUGGAGACAUGGAGA